UUGCUGUAGUAUUUUGACUAUACAAAGGUAUUGAAAUAAGACUUUAAUUGAGUGCUAAGAGAAUGGAAUUACAAAAAAUUUCUUUCUUAAAAUUAAAAAUUAAAAUUAUUCUUUUUGUGAAGAAACAAAAAUUCUUAUUAAGGACAAGAAGACCCUAAGAAUUUUAAAAAUUAUUAAAUUAGUUAAUAAUUUAUUGUUAAUUUUUUAAUUGGGGCGAUUAAUAAAUAUUAAAAACUUUAUUAUUUAAAAAUACGAACCAUAAUUAAUGGUCAUUUGAAAAAAAUACUCUAGGGAUAACAGCGUAAUAAUUUUUGAUAGUUCUUAUAGACAAAAUAGUUUGCGACCUCGAUGUUGGAUUAGGAUUCUUUUUUAAUGAAGAAGUUAAAAAAAGAAGUUUGUUCAACUUUUAAAUUCC
rnacentral:rRNA from 1 species